UACGAAGGGGGCUAGCGUUGCUCGGAAUCACUGGGCGUAAAGGGUGCGUAGGCGGGUCUUUAAGUCAGGGGUGAAAUCCUGGAGCUCAACUCCAGAACUGUCUUUGAUACUGAAGAUCUUGAGUUCGGGAGAGGUGAGUGGAACUGCGAGUGUAGAGGUGAAAUUCGUAGAUAUUCGCAAGAACACCAGUGGCGAAGGCGGCUCACUGGCCCGAUACUGACGCUGAGGUGCGAAAGCGUGGGGAGCAAACAGG
rnacentral:rRNA from 1 species